GGCAGCCGCCGCGGGAACACCGGCGGCCCGAGUGGUGAUCGUGAUUAUUGGGUCUAAAGGGUCCGUAGCCGGUUUGGUCAGUCCUCCGGGAAAUCUGAUAGCUCAACUAUUAGGCUUUCGGGGGAUACUGCCAGACUUGGAACCGGGAGAGGUAAGAGGUACUACAGGGGUAGGAGUGAAAUCUUGUAAUCCCUGUGGGACCACCUGUGGCGAAGGCGUCUUACCAGAACGGGUUCGACGGUGAGGGACGAAAGCUGGGGGCACGAACCGGAUUAGAUACCCGGGUAGUCCCAGCCGUAAACGAUGCUCGCUAGGUGUCAGGCAUGGCGCGACCGUGUCUGGUGCCGCAGGGAAGCCGUGAAGUGAGCCACCUGGGAAGUACGGCCGCAAGGCUGAAACUUAAAGGAAUUGGCGGGGGAGCACAACAACGGGUGGAGCCCUGCGGUUUAAUUGGACUCAACGCCGGACAACUCACCGGGGGCGACAGCAAUAUGUAGGCCAAGCUGAAGACUUUGCCUGAAUCGCUGAGAAGUGGUGCAUGG
rnacentral:rRNA from 1 species